rnacentral:rRNA from 1 species
CCUACGGGUGGCAGCAGUGGGGAAUAUUGCACAAUGGGCGCAAGCCUGAUGCAGCCAUGCCGCGUGUGUGAAGAAGGCCUUCGGGUUGUAAAGCACUUUCAGCGGGGAGGAAGGCGGUGAGGUUAAUAACCUCAUCGAUUGACGUUACCCGCAGAAGAAGCACCGGCUAACUCCGUGCCAGCAGCCGCGGUAAUACGGAGGGUGCAAGCGUUAAUCGGAAUUACUGGGCGUAAAGCGCACGCAGGCGGGCUGUCAAGUCGGAUGUGAAAUCCCCGGGCUCAACCUGGGAACUGCAUUCGAAACUGGCAGGCUAGAGUCUUGUAGAGGGGGGUAGAAUUCCAGGUGUAGCGGUGAAAUGCGUGGAGAUCUGGAGGAAUACCGGUGGCGAAGGCGGCCCCCUGGACAAAGACUGACGCUCAGGUGCGAAAGCGUGGGGAGCAAACAGGAUUAGAUACCCCUGUAGUC